GGAGGAAAAGAAACCAACAGGGAUUGCCCCAGUAACGGCGAGUGAAGCGGCAACAGCUCAAAUUUGAAAUCUGGCCCCAGGCCCGAGUUGUAAUUUGCAGAGGAUGCUUUUGGCGCGGUGCCUUCCGAGUUCCCUGGAACGGGACGCCAUAGAGGGUGAGAGCCCCGUACGGUUGGACACCAAGCCUUUGUAAAGCUCCUUCGACGAGUCGAGUAGUUUGGGAAUGCUGCUCUAAAUGGGAGGUACAUUUCUUCUAAAGCUAAAUAUUGGCCAGAGACCGAUAGCGCACAAGUAGAGUGAUCGAAAGAUGAAAAGCACUUUGAAAAGAGGGUUAAACAGCACGUGAAAUUGUUAAAAGGGAAGCGCUUGUGACCAGACUUGCGUCCGGUGAAUCACCCAGCUCUCGCGGCUGGGGCACUUCGCCGGCACAGGCCAGCAUCAGCUUGCCGUCGGGGACAAAAGCUUCAGGAACGUGGCUCCUCUCGGGGAGUGUUAUAGCCUGUUGCAUAAUACCCUUCGGCGGGCUGAGGUACGCGCUCCGCAAGGAUGCUGGCGUAAUGGUCAUCAGCGACCCGUCUUGAAACACGGACCAAGGAGUCAACCUUAUGUGCGAGUGUUUGGGUGUCAAACCCCUACGCGUAAUGAAAGUGAACGCAGGUGAGAGCUUCGGCGCAUCAUCGACCGAUCCUGAUGUUCUCGGAUGGAUUUGAGUAAGAGCAUAUAGGGUUGGACCC
rnacentral:rRNA from 1 species